rnacentral:rRNA from 1 species
UACGGGGGGGGCAAGCGUUGUUCGGAAUUACUGGGCGUAAAGGGCUCGUAGGUGGCCAACUAAGUCAGACGUGAAAUCCCUCAGCUUAACUGGGGAACUGCGUCUGAUACUGGAUGGCUUGAGUUUGGGAGAGGGAUGCGGAAUUCCAGGUGUAGCGGUGAAAUGCGCAGAUAUCGGGAGGAACACCUGUGGCGAAAGCGGCUCACUGGACCACAACUGACGCUGAGGCGCGAAAGCUAGGGGAGCAAACAGG